CCCACCAAUUCCGGACACACCUGGAAUUCUUUGGAAGGCUGAAGCAAGAGGAUCAUUUGAGGCCAGGAGUUUGAGAAAUUCUAUGUGAUAUAAAGCAGAUGCAUAAAAUUUGCCCACAUCUGCAACUUACUUAUAAAAUGUUUUUUUCAAGAGACUGGAACUUCUAGUGCAUAAAUACAGUUUGGGUUUAAAAACCCAGAAUCCUGAAAAAAAUGGCUCUACUUAAAAAACGACUGUUUUUGGUAGUUGAACAGUAAUUUAAAGGGCUCUUCAGUGACGUUAGAAAUCAUUAAAUCCAAUUCUUUCCUUUUAAAUGUAAGGAAGCUGUUGAAGAAAAGUCCCAUGCUGUGUUUUAUGUUUUGAAGCCGAGGCCAAAUGUGGAGAUGGCAUAACCAGAAGAGGGAACGAACUGGCCUGGAUGUGACUCAUGCUUGGAAGGGAGCUGUCUGGAAGGACCACAGUACCUGCAGCCAACUUUGUGUGAGAAAGAAGUGAAGUAUAGCCAUUGAGUAGGCUGCCAAUAGUGCCUGCCAGAGACACUCAGGAGAGAUUAUAUGCUAAAUCCACCAGACCCUUUGUCUAAGGGCAGGACGUCACCUCUUCAGAAACUGUUUUUCUUCUUGUGGUAAUUAUUAAUUCUCUGCAGUGAUUUAGAAGAAUUCUUGUACUAAAUGUCUUGCCAUUAAAAGUUUGAUGAGUAUAGAAACUGACAGUAGAACUAUUUUUAAAAGUAAUUCUACUUCUAACCCAAACUUCUUACUCUAGCUAUUAUUUUACCACGACGUGAGUUGUACGAAUCACCUCCAAUUUACAUAUUAUGGAAGAGCCUUACAUGGAAAAGAAGAAAUCAUUUUCAAAUUAGACAUUCCAUCUAGAACUGUCAGUAGCUGAUUCCCAUCACUGUCUUUUAUUUCUUCAUGCUUUUAGAUGAGAGUAAUCAUAUCUGCAGUAA
rnacentral:lncRNA from 1 species